CCUACGGGAGGCAGCAGUGAGGAAUAUUGGUCAAUGGGCGCGAGCCUGAACCAGCCAAGUCGCGUGAGGGAGGACGGCCCUACGGGUUGUAAACCUCUUUUGCCGGGGAGCAACGGGCGCCACGUGUGGCGUCACUGAGAGUACCCGGAGAAAAAGCAUCGGCUAACUCCGUGCCAGCAGCCGCGGUAAUACGGAGGAUGCGAGCGUUAGCCGGAGUUAUUGGGUUGAAAGGGUGCGUAGGCGGAGCGUUAAGUCAGUGGUCAAGUUGGGGGGCUCAACCCGUUCCCGCCAUUGAGACUGGCGUUCUUGAGUGGAAGAGAAGUAUGCGGAAUGCGUGGUGUAGCGGUGAAAUGCAUAGAUAUCACGCAGAACCCCGAUUGCGAAGGCAGCAUGCCGGCUUCCGACUGACGCUGAAGCACGAAAGCGUGGGGAUCGAACAGGAUUAGAUACCCGGGUAGUC
rnacentral:rRNA from 1 species